AGCUUGCUGUUUCGCUGACGAGUGGCGGACGGGUGAGUAAUGUCUGGGAAACUGCCUGAUGGAGGGGGAUAACUACUGGAAACGGUAGCUAAUACCGCAUAACGUCGCAAGACCAAAGAGGGGGACCCUCGGGCCUCUUGCCAUCGGAUGUGCCCAGAUGGGAUUAGCUUGUUGGUGGGGUAACGGCUCACCAAGGCGACGAUCCCUAGCUGGUCUGAGAGGAUGACCAGCCACACUGGAACUGAGACAC
rnacentral:rRNA from 1 species